rnacentral:rRNA from 1 species
GGAUGACGUCAGUCAUCAUGGCCCUUACGGCCUGGGCUACACACGUGCUACAAUGGUCGGUACAAAGGGUUGCCAAGCCGCGAGGUGGAGCUAAUCCCAUAAAACCGAUCGUAGUCCGGAUCGCAGUCUGCAACUCGACUGCGUGAAGUCGGAAUCGCUAGUAAUCGUGAAAUCAGAAUGUCACGGUGAAUACGUUCCCGGGCCUU